UCAUAUCCCUCCCCAACAGAAUCGCCCGCAUUCCUGGCACGACCGGCGCACAGUGCGGAAUCCUCGACCAUGACUGCUCCGAUCCGGUAGCCUCAUCGUGCGUAUAAAGGUUGGUCGCGCUGCACGCCCGCGACCCUAUUUCAAUGCCUAGACAACUAUGGAUUCGUCCUCCCAUCGUGAGAGAGCUUGUGGGAGCCAUGGGAGAUCGGACCGCGCUGCCGGGGAAGCGUGGAAGGCCAAAUUUGUUGCUCCGAUCGUCGUGAGUCCCCUCUUGAGUCUACCUCUGUUCAUUCUUUUCCGUUCGCGCCUAGAAUUACUCAACAAUAGUUGUUUUGCCGCCGGCAAUCGCUCGUCGGAGCAGAGCCUCCGCCACGGUGCGAUGACCUACGCGGGCACGGGACCCUAAGCCUCUAAUGCCGGCGUGUGCUCAGCUAGGUGAUUCGGGGUGCUCCAAGCAUUGUGUAGCAUCAUCGGAAUUAGGUAGUUGGGCGCUCGGGCGCUGGUUAGUAGUUCGCCGGCGGGCGCCCACCGCGCAUGGAUCUCGCGCCGCCGUCACAGUGGAAGGGAUUAGGGUGAGGGGCAUGCACGUUGGAUCGGACGCCUGCGGCUGCGAUUAGAUCUGGCGUACCGAUUCGGGCCAGGUAGAUCGGAGCGUUGGAAUUAGAUCGGAGGGCGCAGAAUCAAUCUCGGUAUGAAGCGUUGCGGUCCGUUGAUCGCAGAUCGUAGGGCUAGUGCUGCGUACCGGUUCAGGAUGAAUCUGGAUCUAAUCUGCACCGUCCACUUGUGAUCGUGCGGCCCAGAUCCAUAGAUACCCAUUCAGCCUCGACAAUUUUAUUAAAGAACCCCUGGGUUUAUUGAGAUUCAACCCGCAGUCCUAUUAGUGGAACUCUGAGUCUUAGUGUUAUUUGCGCAGUGAACCCUAGCUUUUGUUUAAAUCACGUGCGCAGACCAGAAGUCAGUAAAAAGGAAUAAAUGAUUAAGGAAAUUGAUUUUUAGUAUGAAAUUAAUUGCAGAAACUUGUAAAAUUCCUAGAAAAUUCAAAUUAAGUCCAAAUUAAUUCGUUCUAGUUUCUAUAAUUUUGUAAAAUUAUUGUUUAUCCAAUAGUGCCAUUGUUUUGACAUGAAAGUCACAUUAAAUAUUAUAUCCUAAUUAAUCUUGUAUCAAACACAUAAAAUCUUUGGAAAUUCAUAACUUAAAAUCUAUAACUCCAAAAUUAAUGAUUCUUGUUCCUAUGUAUUAUUUUAAUAUGUAGAUUAUUAAUAUGUAUUUUGUUUAUAUGUUUGGUGUGAUGUUAAUUUCUCCUUUAUACUAUGCUUGUUUGCAUUGUGGCGAGUAGAAAAGCCAGUGGCUGAGGAUCCCGGUGUUCAGCAGGUAGAAGUUGCUGAGCAGGAGCUCAUUGAAGGCUAGUUGUGCCCUUGACCAUUUUUUACCCAAUAAUGUUCUUUAAUAUCACUUAUUAAUGCAUAGGUUUAAUUUUGAUAGGACCCAAUAGGUCACCCUAGAUUGGUGUAACACCCUAAAAUUAUCAAUUGAAACUCAGUUUGAAUUAUUAAUUUCUAAUAUAAAGAAUAAAUAUUUACAUUUUCAAAUAAUGAUGGUGAUAAAAAUAAAUUUAACAAUUUCUUGAUUAGAUAUAAUUUUGCCAAUUGUUUGAUGCAUUCAUUAUCAGAGAAUAAAUUUUUCGUUUGUUUGUUAAUACAUUGCGAAGAUUUUAUUCUCAUUUACCAGGCCCAAUUAGAUUAGAAUUUUUGCCUAAAACUAUUUAUCCUUUUGGGCAUUUUUAUUUAUAAACUAUCAUUUCCAAAUCUAUUAUAAUAUAUAUAUAUAUUCAUGUACUAAAAAUAAUUAAAUAAAAAAAUAUAACACAUGCAUGUCAUACCAAAAAAAUUCUUGUAAUAAAAAAAGAGAAAACUCACACAACUCACGCACACACAGGCUAGUGCAUGCUCAGCGUACUUACCGGUCAUGAUCAGCCCGCGCUUCCUCUCCCCUUUCAUUGACGUGUGGGUCCCCUAGCAUAUACCUUCUUCCUCCCCGGUGUUUCUCUCAUAGUCAUAGGCAGGACCAGAAAAGCAAGCCGCUGCCGCCAGCCACCGCUACACGACGCGCACCCAGCUGAUGCUCGCUCAUGGCAGCGCGGUAGUAGCCCAACAGUAAGACGACGCGUUCACGACCGUCCUCUGCAGCGACGAUUCUCCUCCUACUGGCGGCAAUCGUUCCAGCGCCCUGCAUUUCUUGAGUCAUUCCUUCCGUCAUUAAUCGCCAUCACAGUUUCAGUUUCCUCAUUAAAUUCAAGAGAGCGUCAAUUGUCAUCAAAUCCGCUUUAAUCCAGCUAAUCUCCUCUCCUCCAGUCUCUAUAAAACCCAACAACCCCUUUCCCUCGCCAACAACAGAAAUAUCACUUCCUGUUCGUCUUCCCAUUACGCCAUCCUCUGCUAGUGCGAACCCAGUCGCGCGUCUACUUGCUUCGUUCAUCGGCGAUUGUUCCAAGAGGCACGCUCGCCCUUCUUCUCCAUUUCCGUGCCCUGGCGCCCACCGUCCAUACCUCCAUGCUGUCCCUGCGCCGUGUCAUCCUUCCUAGUACCAAGAUUUGGGUGUAGCUGCACCAUCGACUCCAGCUCGCCAGAGUUCGUUAUUGCUCGCCUCUACUCGCACCUCUCCACAAGUGCUCAGUCCCUACCGUGCUGAAGAUCGAUGACGAGCAACCAUCUUGCCAUCCUCGCUGUUCAUCAGCACUGCGUCUUGCUCGCACGCCACGCACUGCGUCCUCUGCCCUCGUGUCGAAGCCUUUCACACCGGAGUUCUUCAUGUCAUUGUUGUCGUGCUGCUCUCGCCUCUACCACCAUCGCACUCGGUUGCUGCUGUCGCACCUACACACUGCAUCGACGAGCCCCACCUCGACGUCCAUCCCGAAGUCUAGAGUGCCUCGCCGGUGAACUGCAGUCGAGCUGCUAGUUGUGCCGACGACUGCGUCGUCGACUCCCUCGCGCUGUGCGUUGCCACCCUGCCGCCAGAUGCAUCAUUCCCUUGCUGGUGUUGCUUCUCGCUCAGCUUGUCGUCUAUUGAAGGUAGAAGAUAUGACUUUCCUAUGAUCUAGCCUUUCAUGUUGUUUAGAUACAAAUAAAUGGAUUCUUGCAUUAUUUGCUACAUAAGUUCAUGUGGAAUAUUAGUGUUAGCAACAAUUUACAUAUUUUCGUAAUUUAAUUUAAAUUAUGGUUGCUUUGUAUAUAGUUUUCUAAAUAAGAAAUUAAAAAGAAUUAUACCUUUAUGUUUCUUGUAACCAAAAAUAUGAGAUUGUUAUUUAUAGUGUUAUCUAUACACAAAAAUGUAAAUAUACCGGCUACACCUAGUUUAGCUUUAUUUAUGUGUAGGUACUUGUUACAAUUUUUAUUAUAAAAUGUAAAUUUAGAACCCGACAAUUCACAUAUUUUCAUAGUUCAAUUUGAAUUAUGGUUGUUAUACAAGAAGUAUUAAAAUGGCCUUUUCAAUGAAUAUCAUGUUUUCAUGUUCAUUAUAGAUGUUUAAGUAUAGCCGUAUUAAAUAGAAACUUAAAAGAAUAUGUAGACAUAUAUUUCUUAAUAAAACUAGAAAAAUAAACAUAUGUCCAAUUAAUAAAGUAUUUACAAUUUCUUAAUUAAAAGAUAACAAGGGUCAUUGCUUUUAUAAACUAAAAUAAUAGUUUACUAGGUGGGUGCCCGUGCGAUGCCACGGAACAUAAAUUGCGAGCUUCUAACGGACUUAGAGCCCUGGCAGAGCUCUAGGUACAUGAUCGUGCGUUGCCACGAGACAAGAAAAAUGCCCGUGCAUCGUGAUAUAAUACCCGUGUAUUGUGACGACGACAUAAUUACUCACUUCAAGUGGCAUAGAGGAGCAUCUAGGGCUAAUGGAUCCAAACAAGUUGUUAUCCAAGCAAACAUUAUGCAAACAUAGGCAGCCAUUCCCCAAACUCACGCCAGGCAGAGAAUCAACUAACAUGCUCACAUAAUUUUUACAGUCACCAAAAACAAAAUCAUUUCAAAAAAAAUACAUUCAACAUGAACCCAACAAAAUCGCAAAAUCAUUGCCACGAGAGUUAAAAAUUAGUAUAAACCAUAGAUACGGAACGACAAAUAUCACUAUGAUAUACAAAAUCCGUGUGAUAAAAUAUUACUGUACCACUAAUAUCACUAUGAUAUAUAAAAUCCGUGUGAUACGGAACGACAUCUUUAAUUUUACGCUCUCAAAUUCCAAAUUAUUUUUUCGAAAGGACGGCAAGAGGAUUGCUGAAUAUAUUAAUAGAAGGAGAAAAACCAAAUACAGGGACUACUGGCCAGCAAGGGACCAACUACAGCCUAUUCAAGAAAAAAUUAGAUAUAUGAUCUCCUCAAACAUCGGGGAGGUCGCGUCCAUAUUCCUGACAUCGGCUUUGGGUAUUCCAGAAGGUCUCAUCCCAGUGCAACUACUAUGGGUCAAUCUAGUUACAGAUGGCCCUCCAGCGACUGCUUUGGGGUUCAACCCGCUAGAUAAAGAUAUCAUGAAGAAACCCUCCUCGAAGAAGUGAUGACUCGUUGAUCACUCCUUGGAUCUUGUUUCGCUAUAUGGUUAUUGGCCUUUAUGUUGGGGUUGCAACAGUGGGAAUCUUCAUCAUCUGGUACACGCAUGACAGCUUCAUGGGAAUUGACCUGGCUAGUGAUGGUCAUACACUUGUGUCGUACUCCCAGCUCUCAAACUGGGACCAGUGCUCCUCAUGGGAGGGCUUCAAGGUGUCGCCAUUCACCGCAGGAGCGAGGACAUUCAGCUUCGAUGCAAAUCCAUGCGAUUACUUCCAGGGUGGCAAGAUUAAAGCAACGACCCUCUCUCUGUCAGUCUUGGUGGCCAUUGAGAUGUUCAAGUUCCAAAUUAUCAAAGUGCACUUUCUUCAAAGCAACAAUCUUCAAGAUCACGGGCUCUGUAAACAUUACUAUAUGUACCCUGACCAAUAUGAAUAAACCAAAGAAUAAUUCUUGAAAACAAUUUCCAAGGCAAUAAAAUUUACAUGUGGCAAUCCUCACAGUGAGUUAUUUCCAUCGGAAGUACCCCUCAGGCCCUCACAACACUCGUGAACACAUAUGAGCACAUAAUCUCAAUAAUUCAGUCCAAACCAAAUUCUAGAAAUGGUUUGAAGUAUAUCAGCCAAAUAACAGUUCUCGUCUUUCACAGUUCAAUGUCUAGACUUUAAGUAUGAAUCCAGAACAGAGCAAACAGAACAAUACUAUUUGUUAUAUUGUCGCCUUAUUUCCAGAAAUUCAGCAAAAUCUUAGCAGAAAGGAAUCCUUUUGUAUCUCGAACUUCAAGUGCUUCCAGUACUGAAUUACUCUAGAAUGCCAAAUCUCCUGGAAACAAUAUUUCAAGGUCAAAUAGAUCGCCACCAGGAAGUUAUGUUUGCCCAUAUUGCAAAACGCUGAUGUUUCAUACUAAAUUACUAACUCACAUUGUCCUCUGAAAAAUUGUUCGAACUGAUUCCAAGCUGAAGCCUGUGUCUGAAGCUGAUAUUAAAUCUACUGUUGACAUUUCACCACAUGAGAAAACAGAAGACGUCGAAUACUACAUUACAUUUGAGGAUUAGGACAACGCCGGUGCAGAGUUAUUAGCUACAGUUAGGAUCAAAACAAGAGAAACGGCUGCUACGACAGAUCUUGCACCGAGUGAUUCCAGAGCUUUUUCCUCACGAUCAAGACUCUUUCGUCACCUGUCGUGAGCGCAUCUUUCUUAGGCCUCAUCUCAAACGUCCAGUCGUCCCACCUUAGCGCUGGUAAAAGUUUCUUGAUGUAGGUAACGACAUCAACUUUGUCUCUGAUGAUGGCAUAACCAUAAGUCCUUAGGAUGCGGUCCAUCUCGAUCAGAAGAUCCUCCAAGCUACAUCCCUGCUUCUCUAUCUCAGAAAACAGGAGCCAGGCAUGAAGGAGGUCGUAGGUGCCCGGGUAUGUCGAGAAUGAUUCACACCUUCAGUUAAACAGGUCAUAAAUAAGGAAAAUUAGCAUCAGCUAGCCCUGUGUAACGGGAAGUAAGGCAGACACAGACACACAGGACAAUGCACAAGAAAUUUCUUCAGUAGUGAAGAGGUUAGAAAUGAAAAGAAUGGUCUUAAAAACUGGAAAGAAGCAACAGAAUGGGGGCACCUAUAUCAGAUAUGUUGACAGGACUCAUUUUUUUUUGCGAGGACCCAUGUUUCUCGGUUUUGUUUAAUUAUAAUAACAAUAACAACGCAGUUAAUCUUAUAAUGGGCAGAAGUAUUGGCCUCAAGGCUCAAACACUACAUCCAUAUUCCAAAAUAUGACAGCCAAACUACAUCAAUUUCUGAAAACCAUGUUUACACGCGGUUGCAUCUUAGAAAUCAAACAAGAUAAUAUCACCCCCUUCCACACGAGUUAAGAAUUUUAUAUGGACAACCAUGAGAAAACAAUUUGUGAAAUUAUUUAUGGAUAAUUAAUUGCAGACUAUAGUCACAAUGAAACUCUUAUCUGUAUAGCACAAGACAAAACAAAUGUAAUAGUUCUAAUUUCUAGGGAUGCAAAUUCCACCUUGAAACAGUAAAAAAAAUAGAUGGGAAGUAUGUCAAAAAAAACCUUACCAGUCAUGGGUAGUCCCCAUUAAACCACGAUCAUAUAUAAUUUUUAGCUUUCCAGAUUCCGUGAAAGGAACUACAUUCAUAACCCAGACAUUCUUUUUCUUCAGAGAUGCUGCAAAUCCACCAAGGCUAGCACUCAUAUCCAUAACGUAUCGAAAGGAAUCCUUUUGUAUCUCGAACUUCAAGUGCUUCCAGUACUGAAUUACUCUAGAAUGCCAAAUCUCCUGCAAACAAUAUUUCAAGGUCAAAUAUAUCGCCACCAGGAAGUUAUGUUUGCCGAUAUUGCAAAACGCUGAUGUUUCAUACUAAAUUACUAACUCACAUUGUCCUCUGAAAAAUUGUUCGAACUGAUUCCAAGCUCUUCCAGGCGCGUAUGAAUCCAGAACAGAGCAAACAGAACAAUACUAUUUGUUAUAUUGUCGCCUUAUUUCCAGAAAUUCAGCAAAAUCGAGCGGUCUUUGCCGCUCUUAGCAGAAAUUAUUUACUAUUUGUAAUUAAACAACAUUUGCAGGGAAAAGACAAAAGUAAUACGAAAAGUAGUGGUCUAGAGUUUAAUUUCAUUUCUUGUAAAAGACCAAACUUAUAUCAGUACUCGACCACAUGAAACCACAACGUAGACCAUCACAAGAACAUGGAACAGUGAAAAAAACCUGACCAUCAGAGCGGAACCUGGUACACUACAAAUGUAGGAUCUUAAUACCAUAGAUGUGGUGCUUCUACCUCUCAAAUGGAAAUGCAUGUGUGUUAGUGGAUUUGAACAUAUAUGCACUGAAUAGUUUAGAUAUGGCCAGUAGGCACAUCAUAAAACAUGUUGAUCUUGCUUGCCUAGUAGAAGAGCAAGGAAAAACACUUCACAAUAACAAUGUAUACUACCUCCAUUUUUAUUUAUUUGACGCCACUUUAUUCAAUUUUGUACUAACCGGCAACAAAUAACAAUGAAUGGUGGGAGUACCUAUAUAAGCAAUUAUAUCAUGUUUAAUGAUAGACCCAACAAUUGCAUUUGACAUUACUCUUACCCAUAACCUGUACAAUUACACACCUUUUCUUCUCUGUCGUCAAACCUUUGUGUAAGCCUUGAAACGCUUCAUUCUUUAGCAGAGAAUAUUUCAAAUGAUAAAUUUUCCCUGUUACAAGAUCAAGUCAUCUUCCAGCCACCCUUUCAACAAGGAGUUAAUCUGGAACCUAUAACAAUAAAGAAUGGAUUAAAUGCACAAAUUCUACAUUCAUGAAAUCUAGAAAAGGUGAAUAAAUUGUUAUUCACAGUGAUGCUCUUUACUGAUUCUUGGCAGACAAAUAGGGCAUCACUGUGAAUAAUUGUUCAGAUUCAUUUAUUCAGAAAAAAACUAAAAAAGAAUAUAUGCAAGUCAUAUGCCAUACAAGUUACUAAGAUAUGUGAUUGUCCCAACCACUACACCCUGAAUGGCUGAAUCAAACCAGCACAAGUAUGAACUAUUAACAUUUAGGUGCAUAAAAACAAAUUGGUAAUUUUUUAGCAUCACAAAGGUAUUCGGAUGAAUCUUUCCAUUAGGACGGCAACAAACCAGCAGACGAAUUAGCUGGUCAUGGAGUGCCGGCAUUGGCUCCAAUCACCUGGUGCUUUGCUAGAGACCAGAGGCUUCGCUGGUUGGACCACUUCCACUCACACUCACAUCUGAGUUGGUUGCAAUAGGAGCACCUGCUAUGGUUGGGGCCCUCCAUUCUGUCGGACCCGCUUCAGAAGGAAGGCCACAACUAACAUGAAGGUUGAGUCAGAUAAGAAAUCUCUACUGUGGGACUGGUUACCGGUGGCAUGAUGGAAUCCUAUGGCUCUUUGUCAUCCCUGUGCUCCCGGAAGACCUUUCAUGGUGGCGUGGGAGGUGAGGUACCUGAAUGGAGAGGGCAGCCACGACAACACGAUGGAGGUGGCUAUGGAGCUGGCGCUCCUCGAACACGUUCCGCGUGGCGCGGCGCGGCGCGUGUGAUCUCCCUCGCGCUGGACCCCCACAGGGACACCUGCAGAAGCGGAAAAACAAUAGAAAGAUAGAGAGCGAGGGAGGGAGCUACGGAGGGCAAGAUGAAGGAGCCGGGGACUGUCACACACACAAAAAGAUUCUCACCCAACAUGCAGAGCUUCACACGAGUGGCCUUAUCCGCGACACCCCAUGUCUCGAGGGCCCCAUCCCCGAUGAUCCGCUCGGCUGCCGCCUCGAGCAGCAACAGCCCAAUCGUGCCCCACUCAUUGACGAUGCCCCCAUACCCGUACAAAUCGUCCUCUUCGCAAGAGGCGUCGUGGCGCUGGUGACUGGGAGGCCACAUAGGGGGCGAUGAAUGUUGCAUGGAAGAAGUCGCAUGGAGUAAUCGGGGAGUCAGAGUCAAGCAUCAGAGGAGGAGCCGCGGCGGUGGGUGCAUGUGACGAUAGAUAACCGCAGUGUGCCCGCUGCACGAAAUCGCAAAAUCGUGAGGUUGUUACUUUGUUAGAGGGGUAGGGUGAGACUCUAGUCCAGGACGGGAUCGAGGCGGCGGCGGCGGCGAGGAGGAGGAAGAGGAGCUGGAUGGAUACCUGCGGGGGGCGGGACGGUCGCCCCCGAAGUCGGAGGAGUCGGCCCUCACCCAGUGCAUCUGCUUCGGUUGCAGCUGCUGCAUCCUUUCCCUCGUCUCCUUGUCCUCGCUCCAACUCCCCAGUCUACGCGCCUCUCUUCGUGAAGGAACUGGACACGGCUGCGACCGGGAGGAUGAGCCCUGUACCGGCGGCUGGAUGGCGGCCGGGGGCGGCGAGCGGUGGACGGCGGGGAGUCUGGCAGGUGGGGGAGAGGGGAUCGAAUGAAGCAGAGAAGUCAGAGCAGGAGGAUGGAAACAGUAGCGCCCCACGGUCAGCCCAAACGAAACGACCACGACCGGAGACACACGCGCGACCUCGCCCACCCUGCCUCCCACGAUGGGCGCCAUCAGCGGCGAGAUGGAUGGGAGCGCGGGGUCGCCGCGGGAUGCAGGGAAGGAAGUCGGCGCGGUUGAGGGCGGGAUGCAGGGAAGACGGCGCGGGCGGGGGCGGGAUUGCAGGAAGGAAGACAGCGUGGGCGGGGGCUGGAACGGGGGCACGGUCAGGUUGGUGGACGCCCUUGCUCCAGCCUUAAGGUGUAGUAGAGAUACAUAACUUCCUUCUAAUGAAUUAGAUAAUUUGUUCCUACCAUAGAAUUAAAGAUAAUUAAUAGGUUAAUUAUCCUUUAUCAUAAUGUAUUAAUCAAACCUAUAGUCAAUUUGUUCUUAAUUAGAUUUAUGGCGUGAUUAAUGAUUUCAUAAAAUUUAGUCCACAUUAUAUACGAAUCACUUAGCUUUUCCUAAAGGAUAAAAUAAAGUAAUAAGAGUUUAAGUUCUUUUAUAACUUAAAAUGUUACUUUAUAUAUGAACUUCAAACAUAAUAAUAUAGGCUAUGUGUUUUCUAAUGAAAAUAAAAUAUAAUUGUUUGUUCAUUGUCUUUUACAUAAAAGUUCAUUUAAGGCAUAUAUCAUAACUUUUCAUAAAAUAGGUGUUUAAUAAUAAUGAUCUUUUCACAUAAAACCUAUUUAGACUUGUAUCUUAGUUUAUCAUAAGUGAAUGUUUAACAAUGAUUUAUAAGAUGUUCCAUAAUGCUUCUAAAAUUAAUAACGUGUUUCGUAGCCCAUUAACCUUAGAUAUAUAACAUAUAUCUUUUCUAAAAGGUUAAAAAGGUUUAAUAUUGUUAUAACGUGUUUUAUCAUCUUAUAAACCCUUAAUAUUAGACAUAUCACGUAUGACGUUUUAUAAAAGAUUAAUUUGUUGAACCUAAUAUUUGUAUAUUUUAAUUAAGAUAUUUUUAAGCUCAUGUCUUGUUUUAUAAAGUAUAGAUCACACAUUUUUAAAAAGAAUACCUAAUUAUAACCAUUACUUGCGAUGUUUUUGAAAAGCGAACACUCUUUUCGUUAGGAUUUCUUUUAGCUUUACGUAUGGUGAAUGUUGUAUGUUAUUGAGUGGUGUUUGUUCUUCUUGUUUGUUUGUGUGAUAUUCAGUGGUUGAUCUAGUAGUUAAGAAUCAAGAUCUAUUCCUAUCCGUGGAAGAACCUCAAGUUUUCAAUAAGCAAGGCAAGUGGACUUCUCCCUCUGCAUAUUCUAUUUGAUCCCAAACAAUACAUUUAAUAAAGUUUAUUCUUGGAUAUAUAUGCAUAAUUUGAUGGGUUACCUAUUCAGAUACACCUAACCUUUCCAACCUUAUUCCUUGUUUAACCUGGGUUAUGAUUUAAUCUAGUAGCUAUGCUAUUGCUACAACUUUAACUAUAUGAUGUUACUCCUAAUGAUGAUAUAAAUGUUCCAAAUGGUAAGUUACAUUAUUGUUAUUAAUCCGAUGAUUAAGCAAGAUCAUACUGUGAUAAUUGGAACAUGGAGUGACCACCAGGGAAAAUAGUGCAAUUACGAAUUCUAUCAUGGCUCUGGCUUUGGUAAUUAGCUUUAUAUGCUUAGUGCCUAGCAACCUUACCUGAAAUAUGGGCAAGAGGGGGGAGCGGUGGUGGUGGCAGCCCACAUUAACAUGGGGACGUAUUCUUGGCUAAGGUACCUCACCCAGGGGGCCUCCUGUAACACCCCACUGGUCCCACACAUUGGAUGUUACCAAAUACCCUUCCCACUAAACUUAUGCAACACAAGAAAUGGAAUAGAUAGAGAAAGUAUUGCAAAAUCUGGCAGCACCUCCCUUGAAAGAAGCAUAACAGGGGGGGAACAUGGAGUUCAUACAGGAUAUAAAAGACAGAUAAUUCACGUAGUAGAAUCUAAAUGCAAAAGUGGUGAAACACGUUCAUGACCAAAUAAAAGGAUAGGUAACUCAGCCCACCCCAAAAAUAGCUCAACCACCAUGAAAAGCUAGAACAUAUUAAUUCCCUAGACUUGACCCUCCCUGAUUAACAACAUUAUUAAGCAGUGGUUCCUUUAUUAAAGGUGUAGUGGCCGUGCUGCUACAUCCCUCUUUUCCCAAAGCAGAAAUCAGGUGCCUGCAUUAAACAAUGCAAGAGUGAGAUGACACAUCUCAGCAAGUAAACAGAGCAAACCACAAUUGGACAAUGUAAACCAACUGUGCUUAAACAACCACGUAGUUCAAAACUUCCUUCUUGAAUAAUAAUUUGCAGCAAGUAAGAAAGUAACUAAUUACUUAACACCAAGAAGAGUCACAAUGUAAAAAUCCACACUAUCCACAUCCACAUAAUAAAUUCCACACCUCUCCCAUGAAUGCACAGGGCUACAGAUGCAGUAAUGACUUCUGUCUUCAUAUCUCCGAGGAUAUGAAGCUGCAUCAUACCCCUUCUCGGGCAACAUAUGAUGCUCAAUGUACGGUCGGACCAUAAGAUCACGACGAACUUCCUUGCAAUGAAUAAUGAAUGCAUUAUGCAUGACAACAACAUGAGUUCUUCCCAAAUAAAAUGUGCUAGACAUAUACUUCCACCCAUUCCACAUAAUAACCACUUGAGUAACAUGAUCAAACCACAAACUCAACAUAUGUAAUCAAUAAAACACGAAUAUCUUCAAAUGAUGGUACUCAAUUAAAAAUAUGAAUACGAACACAAUAGCACAACAUAAUCAAGUAUAAGACUCUUCAUUCGACAGACGGAAUAACCAUCACUGUUUUACUUGCCUUCACCGAAAGUUUGGGCAAAUCCCUAAGUAGAUCCGAGCGGUGGUGGAGAUUUGCACCACGCGACGUAGAUCCAAGCGGCAGGGAAUGGCACCUUGGGAGGAGGAGAUGGGGGGGCGGCUAGGGUUAGGUGGUGUGACUGCAAGGGUUUGAGGGAGGAGGAGAUGGGAGGGGUAGGAGGCGGCCAAAGGUUAGGGGAAUGGGGGGGCGGGCGGCUGCACAAAGGAAGGGGGGGGGUUAGGGGGAGGGCGGCUAGGGUUAGGGGAGGUUAGUGGGCCGAAUCAAGAUUCACGGCCCAACUCGCCCACGCAACAGCUCCCGCCCCUGUUGCAAGCGCCUAACCAAAGGAAUUCUAGUGCCCUACUGGUGAAUGUUUUCCACAAAUUCCAAAUCCCCAAAAUGCAUCAACCGAAUGAGAAAAAACAAAAAAAAGAAUAACCUCCAACUUCUCUUCUUUGCAAACCGGGUAUCACACUCUACCCCCCUUAAAAAGAAUUCGACCUCGAAUUCUGACGCUUCUAUCGGAACGACAAAAGGAAAGAUUAAAGAAUCAACAACACUUACCCACAACGAAAAGUUCCGGAUACUUCUGCCGCAUCAGGUCCUCAAGUUCCCACGUAGCCUCGCGCUCAGACUGAUUAGUCCAUAAGACCUUGACAUACUUAAUUGAUCUCUUCCUCAAUACACGCUCCGAGAAUUCCAAUAUACGCACCGGACGACACUCCAAAGUCAGAUCCUGCUGCACAGCAAUUGGUUCCAUCUCAAUCUGAUGGUCCGGAUCCCGCAAGAACUUCCUCAACAUAGAGACAUGAAAAACCGGGUGUACCCCUGCCAUGGAAUCCGGCAGCAGCAAGCAAUAAGCUAGGCUACCCACUCGGGUCAAGAUAGUGAACGUUCCAAUGUACCUCGAGCUGAGCUUUCCAGAGACACCGAACCGAACAACUCCUUUAGUAGGUGAUACCCUGAGAAGGACUUGGUCACCCACUGCAAAUUCCAAAUCCCGCCUCCUCACAUCAGCAUAACUCUUCUGACGGCUCUGAGCUACCAAAAUAUUCUGACGAAUUUCCCGAACCUUUUUAGAAGUCUGCUGAACCCAAUCAGGACCAACCAGGGAUCUCUCUCCCAAAGUCUCCCAGUAGAGAGGGGAGAUACACCGCCUACCGUACAAAGCCUCAAACGGUGCCAUCUUGAUGCUAGCCUGGUAGCUGUUGUUAUAAGCAAACUCUGCCAAUGCAAGAUGAUCCUCCCAGCUACCCUUCCAUGAUAGAACACAAGCGCGCAACAUAUCUUCCGAGGUUUGGAUCGUUUGCUCUGACUGACCAUCAGUCUGAGGGUGAAAAGUGACACUAAGUGAAAGCUUGGUGCCCAAUGCACUAUGAAGACUCUCCCAGAAUUUGGAUACAAAUUUGGAGUCUCGAUCAAAAACAAUGGACUUAGGUACCCCGUGAAGCCUGACUACUUCCUUCAUAUACAAGGGAACCAAAUCUGAAGCUGAAUUUGUGGUCUUCAUGGGAAUAAAAUGUGCAGACUUAGUCAAGCGAUCCACUACCAUCCAUAUAGCAUCCCUGCCCCGAGGGGAACGAGGUAGACCCACCACAAAAUCCAUGGUGAUAUGCUCUCAUUUCCACUCUGGAAUUUCUAAUGGCUUCAGUAAACCUGCAGGCCGCUUAUGCUCGGCCUUCACGCGUUGACAUACUUCACAGGCGGCCACAUACUUAGAAACGUCAACCUUCAUCCGCUUCCACCAGAAGUUUUGCUUCAAAUCUCGGUACAUUUUGGUUUUGCCAGGGUCAACGGUGUAAGUUGUUUUAUGAGCUUCUCUCAAGAUAUCCAUCUUCACCUCUGAUUUCUGAGGCACACAAAGACGGCCCCUGAAACGAACCAAAUCAUUCUCAUCAAUGGUGAACUCCCGUGGUUUACCAUCACCAACCCUCUUUCGAGCUUCCUGCAAUAGACGAUCCUGCUGCUGAGCUGCACACACUCUCUCCAUGAGGGAGGAUUGAAUAAGCAUCCGAGUCUCCUCGCUAGCGGUGCCGACAUAACACAAAGCGAUCCCCAAAUGGUCCAGAUCAGCGAUCAACAGCAAGGCCACUUUUGGAACCCCGAACCUGCUAAGGGCAUCAGCCACUACAUUAGUCUUCCCCGGGUGAUAAUGAAUGGACAAAUCAUAAUCUUUAAUCAAUUCAAGCCACCGACGCUGCCUCAAAUUCAGCUCCUUCUGAGUAAAAAUAUACUUGAGACUUUUAUGAUCGGUGUAAAUGUCACAAGCCUCGCCAUAAAGAUAAUGCCUCCACGACUUUAGAGCAAAAACCACCGCGGCCAAUUCAAGAUCAUGAGUUGGGUAAUUCCCCUCAUGCUUCCUCAACUGCCUUGAGCCAUAAGCAAUCACUCUGCCUUCCUGCAUCAACACACAACCAAGACCAAUAUGUGAAGCAUCCGUAUAAAACUGUGAAACGCUUAUCGCUCUCAGGCAAAGCUAGGAUAGGGGCAUCCACCAACUUGCUCUUCAAUGUCUGAUAACUGACCUCGCAAUCGCCAGACCAGAUGAAGGGAACACCCUUCUCCAAGAGUCUAGUCAGAGGCUUAGCAAUGCUGGAAAAAUUUGGUAUGAAGCGCCGAUAAUAUCCAGCGAGCCCCACGAAACUUCGGAUUUCAGAGACACUAGAGGGUCUCUUCCACUCCACCACAGCCGCAACAUUCUUGGGAUCAACCGCAAUGCCCUGUUGAUUAAUCACGUGCCCCAGGAAAGCCACUUCGGACAGCCAAAAGCCACACUUCUUCAACUUGCCAUAGAACUGAUUCUUCCUUAGGGCACCCAGAACGAGACGGAGAUGCUGCUCAUGCUCGACCUUGGUCUUUCAAUAAAUCAGAAUAUCAUCCAGGAACAUGACCACAAAGUCGUCCAGGAAUUCAUGCAACAUCCUAUUCAUUGCUUCCAUAAAAGCAGCAGGGGCAUUAGUUAAGCCAAAAGACAUGACUAUGAACUCAUAAUGCCCAUACCUGGUGCAAAAAGCAGUCUUCUCAAUAUCCUUCUCACGAGUUCAAAUCAAUUUUGGAGAACACCCGGGCACCCCUCAACUAUUCAAAGAGGACCUCAAUACGGGGAAGAAGAUAUUUAUUCUUGAUUGUCACUUGAUUCAAAGCGCGAUAAUCCACACACAACCGCUUGCUUUUAUUCUUCUUCUCAACAAACAAUACUGGGGAAGCCCAUGGAGACCUGCUAGGCCUAAUGAAACGCUUAGCUAGCAGAUCAUCCAAUUGCUGCUUCAAUUCAACCUGCUCCUUUGGGGCCAUUGGAUACGGGGCCUUAUGAAUAGGCUGCGUACCCGGAAUCAGCUUAAUCUCAAAAGCUGCAUCGUGCUCCGGAGGAAUGCCUGGAAGCUCUGCCGGAAACACGUCAGCAAAGUCACACACCACCCAGAUGUCCUGCACCCGCAAGGCAGCCUCACCCUCCACCACCAUGGAGAAAAAGAUCCCCGACUUCCUUGAUCGGUGAUCUGGAAGCAAUUGUGCCAACAAGGAUAACGUGAACUUUGGGGAACUUCCCAAGAAUACCACCUCCUUACCCGACGGCGCCUGCAAUAACACUGUCUUGCAAAAACAGGAUAUAACUGCGUGAUACUGGGAUAACCAAUCCAUACCCAAGAUAACAUCGAAUGCCCCCAAGGAAAUCACCGCCAGAUUGGCCGAAAAGACCUCAUCAGCAAGAAUGACGGAACACCCCUAACAAACUGAACAGCUACUAAUGGAGCCAUUAGCAGAACUAACCAAAAUUGGGUGACCCAACCUCUGCACCGAAAGACUAGCCCGCGACACAAAAUCCUCCGAAACAAACGAAUAGCUAGCGCCAGAGUCAAAAAGAGCAUGCGCCGCAAACGAAUCAACUGAAAUCGUACCUGUCACCACGUCUCCUUGCUCUCUGCCAUCCGCAGCGGGUAGCACAUAAGCUCCAGAAAUACCCACAGAAGAGGAAGCUCCCGGAGUGAAAUUAACAGAAGAACCCCACUGAGCCGCCGGGUGAGGCAGACACGGAGCUCCAAACUGAGACGACAUAGGAGUAGACGGUGCAGGAGUAGGUGCGGCCAGAUACUGAGGAAAACCCUGCAUCGGCAUGAACUGAGAAGUCCCAGGCACAUAAAGCUGCUGUGAAGGAAGAGGAACUGAAAACUGCUGCUCAGCACUUGACAUCAUGUUGAUAGUGCCCUGAGAAGAGGAGGAAGUCACCGGCUCCCAUCUGAGCUUCCCAUUAGGAUUCCUCCUACACACCGCAUCCUUAUGGUCCUAACUUCAGAUAGAAUACCUGCCACUCCACUGGCACUCUGCACGGCGAUGCGCAUCACCACAGCGGAAACACACCAGCCCCAGCCUGGGCUUAGGAACAGCCCGAAACCUCUGAGUACUUCCUCCCGAAGUACCCGAGUCAGAAGAUUUGCCACGGUAAGGAUGGUGGCGCUGAUGCUGCGACUUGCCCCUCUUGUGGGCUGGACCUCCCGUGUUGCCCCUCCUCGCGUCCUGGCCACGAGGCUAAUGAACACCCGAAGACUUCUGCGACUCCAUGGUAUACUGGUGUUGCAUCUCCACACCCAGUGCCUACUCCACCGUAGUACGGAAGUCCACCAACAGAAAGGCUCCUAGUGCAUGCCUGAUAGAAGGCUUCAGACCCUGACGGAACUGGCUCGCCUUCUCCAUCUCAUUAUAAGCCACAUGAGGGACAAAGCGGACCAUCUUGUUGAAGCCCACCUCAUACUCUGUGACAUACUUCUUCUCCUGUUUGUAGGACUGCAAGUCAAUCUUCAUUUUAUCCAGGAAGGUGACCAGGUAGAAUCUCCUUUCAAACUGCUUGAUGAAGACAUCCCAAGAUAGGACUCCUGGUGAUGAGGAGUGCGCUGCCUACACGCCUCUCUACCAAAUUUGAGCCUGUCCCUUUUAGCAGCUGUGUGCCAAAGCGAACCCGAUCUCCAUACACAAUCUCGAAGACAUUCAUCUUAUCCUCCACGUAAGUCAGCCAAUCUGCUGCCUCCACCGGAGUACCACUGCCAUCAAAAGAAUCCAUCUUCAUGCCCAUCCACUGCAUCAAAGAAAGACCACUGACUGGAAGAGGCACCUCAGCCCCGCCACCUGGAGCAGCACCCGCAGGGACAGCGCCCCCGGGCACUCCUCCACCACCAGCACCCUGAGCAGCACCCGCAGGGGCAACAGGAAUAGCUUGCCUCAGAAUGGCCAACUCCUGCUGCAUGGCCUGCAUCUUGGCUAACAUUGCCGCCGGACUCAUCGAGUCCCCACUAGGAACUUGCGGACUACCCCGAGCCCUAUGAGGCGGCAUAGCUGCAGACACAGGGGUGAGAAUAAUAAGUAAAUAAGAUUGGCAUAACAUUUAUUCAGAUAAUGUCAAACUAGCACAGACAAUAACAUAACAUAUCAAUAGUAAAGCAGAAAUCCCAUCCUACAUGUGCAGUGUGUCAAUUUAUUAUUACUCCACUUGCUAGGACCUACAGCCUAUGCCUCUGAUACCAACUAUAACACCCCCACUGGUCCCACACAUUGGAUGUUACCAAAUACCCUUCCCACUAAACUUAUGCAACACAAGAAAUGGAAUAGAAAGAGAAAGUAUUGCAAAAUUCGACAGCACCUCCCUUGAAAGAAGCAUAACAGGGGGGAAACAUGAAGUUCAUACAGGAUAUAAAAGACAGAUAAUUCACGUAGUAGAAUCUAAAUGCAAAAGUGCUGAAACACAUUCAUGACCAAAUAAAAGGAUAGGUAACUCAGCCCACCCCAAAAACAGUUCAACCACCAUGAAAAGCUAGAACAUAUUAAUUCCCUAGACUUGACCCUCCCUGAUUAACAACAUUAUUAAGCAGUGGUUCCUUUAUUAAAGGUGUAGUGGCCAUGCUGCUACAUCCCUCUUUUACCAAAGCAGAAAUCAGGUGCCUGCAUUAAACAAUGCAAGAGUGAGAUGACACAUCUCAGCAAGUAAACAGAGCAAACCACAAUUGGGCAAUGUAAACCAACUGUGCUUAAACAACCACAUAGUUCAAAACUUCCUUCUUGAAUAAUAAUUUGCAGCAAGUAAGCAAGUAACUAAUUACUUAACGCCAAGAAGAAUGACAAUGUAAAAAUCCACACUAUCCACAUCCACAUAAUAAAUUCCACACCUCUCUCAUGAGUGCACAUGGCUACAGAUGCAGUAAUGACUUCUGCCUUCAUUUCUCCGAGGAUAUGAAGCUGCAUCACACCCACCACAGGAGAAGAACAGGUGGUUCAGGAGGAGCAACACAACGAGGAGUUCGACUUGAUCUAGGUGGCGUCUCCUAGUUGACUUUAUGGCGCCAAGGAUGGACUUUAGUUCGUUUUAUAUUUAUCUUUUAUUGUGUAAGACUUCCGCUAUGUAAUAAGUACUAUGAUGUUAUUGUGAUAUUUAUCUCUAUACACUCUGUUAUUGUAACGCCCCAAUCCUCUGGGACUAAAAUGUGAUACAAUUACUAGUCCCAGGAGGCUAGUAAACACAUUUAUACAACAGAUGAUUCUAGAUCUGCUUAAACGAGACAAACCUAUAAAGGUGGUGAUCAACUUUAAGAGUUGGUCCACAACUCAGG
rnacentral:lncRNA from 1 species